CAGCCGGGCGCCGCCAGCCAUGCACGACCAAAGUAAGGGCAUUCCAUCGCUACGUCACAGCACGCGGCGCUGUGCUAGCAAGACUGGUGCAGCCCGGAGCUGGUGUCAUCGCUCCGAGGACUCGGGGAAGGUCAUUGAUAUCACCAAGCUCAGCCAGCCUGUGUUACAUGGGCCACAUUGUACUUGGCAGGAAUAAAGGUGUCAUGAAUUAAUAAUGUUUCUUUCGCAUUUCUGACGUGUCCACAGUCAUUUCCUAGCAUCCUGACAAGUGGAGAGGUCACCGCUCGGCCUCCAGUCCACCGUAGGCGACCGGGACCACCUGGGCACCUACAGAUUUGGUGUCAGAAGUCCUUGCGCCCACCGCCUACAGAUUUGGUAUCAGAAGUGUUCGAACCGUCCAUUACAGCACUGGCCUACAGAUCAGGUAUCUGGAGUCGUCGACACCGCCGCUGCAGGACUGACACCACAGAGUUGCGGUCAGAACUGUCGACUCUAUGCAGACUUGUGGUGUGCUCGGUUGUCUUGGACACUCCUAAUGUCCCCUGUGACAGGUCAGCCUGCAGUGACAAAGUCAUUAGUAUCAGGGUGCACACCCACCUUCCAGGCAACGAGACCAGCAGCUCAUCAUCGACGAUGUUUUCUUUUUCUAUUGUGGUGGGCAUCCGCAUACUAUAAGCGCAGCCAACACACUAUGAGCACCACGUGCUGACGUCACGGGCACAGAGAAGACAUCACCUAUUGGCUGGAGACGCUGUGGCUCUGCUGUUACCACAACAGAAACAUUACAUCAUUGUGAGGCUAACAUCAGUACAGUCAGAAAUGUUUACCUGGCAUUUAAAACUGAUUUUUGUUUACAAUAAACAAAUUAUUUGAGCAA